GCUAGGGAGUCACAGAACAUUCUGUACUGACUUUUAUACUAUUCGGAGUUUAUUAGACAUUCUUUCUUAGCCUGCUCUUCAGCGUAGCCUUGACCAUGCCCUAGGUCGCAGGCUUGAUUUUAUGAUUCCGAAUACAACAGUGACCUACAUCCUGAAUCACAACAGGACAUAACCCACAGCGAAUGAACAGAGAAAAACAAGCAGAAAGAAGAGAUAAGAUAAAAUACUGAUACCGCGAGGAUGCCAAGGGGUUAUUGUGCCAGUUGAAGAUAAUUACUGGGGCAUGCCCUUUCUCUGGAAUAAUGCUGCUUUUUCCCAGACAGACAGCUUCUGGAGCGUCUUUUCUGAGCUUGUCUGCACAAACAUGGAUAGGAACGUCAUUGGUAGGACAAGUUCUGUAUCCUUCAGCUGCUGUGGGCAGAAAUGAGGAGGAACGCAGGAAGAAGUACUUGUUUUAAGCUACAGAAGUCUGAAUUAACAGAUAUGAUGAAGCCCAUUGACCAUAGCUGGAUGAUUAUUUGAGAUGAAGAUGAAGACUAGAGUAGAAAGCAAAAACUUCACUUCUGGGAAGCGGGGGGCUACAUUCACAGAGGAAGGUUUCAUGUGUCACGAUGUGCCUAGAAACUUGGGGAGCCUGAGGAAAGCAAAGCAAGUAAAGACACUGAAGAGGAAUGAUUGGAGCCUGCGCUGAUGAGAACGGAGCACAGAGUAAGCUGCUCUUAGCAUUCGUGAGGACUCUCCUCAGCUGUCUGGGCGUUCGCUUCAGGUACAGCAUCUACCACAGUGUGUUCCACUUUGUAAAUGCUAAGGGUGAAGAAGACAAGAUGACUUCCAGUCUACAGAUGCCCACUGGCAUGCUAAUAUAAAGAGCUUCCCUGUCUGCAUCUGUGUGACUCCAAUUUACCACUUUCACAUCGACUUAAUGGGAAGAUAAAGGCAAAGUCAAAAAACUGCUCCAAUUCCCUUUUAGCAAACCCACUACGUAAAGCCCUCCCAGUAUCGUCUUUGGAUUCCUAUUGAGCAACGCUGAUGGCCACUUCUUCUUUUUGGAAAUGACAAAAAUAAACCCAGGUUCCUUGGCAUGUUUAAAAGCUAUUUAAAACAAUCAGGACAUGCUUUUGCUUCUUACACUCUGGGUGUUCACCCCAAUGAAGAAAGAACUAGUUGAAACACACUCAUUACUUCCCUUCAUUUUCACACUGAGCUGGACAAGAAUCAGCAUAUCCUGUGUUGGACAGUUGCACAAUCAGAUUGACAAGCGAGUGAUUCUGAUUGCCUCCUCAGAUAUUCCCGUCCUCUCUAACAUACUUCUUGGAGGAAUAUGAAAUAGUCGUCUUCUCAACCUAGGCACAAAUGGCACAUCGGGACUGACGUGGAAGGACAGUAGACAACUCAUUAAAUUCUCCUACAUUUGCCCAUGGCAGCUGGUGUAUUCUCAGCAUUAUUAUUUUUUAGAAAGCGGGAUACAUAAGAAACUUGGAAGUGUAGCAGAGAAAAAUUCCGUUUGGAUUCUUCUCGAACCUAGACAAAUGGCUAGAGUACCCUCUAAUUCUCCAGUGGGUACAGAUAUCUGUGUUAUGUGUGGCUGUACUUUCCUACAGUCACACUGUCUCCUCCUGGAGCUCUUAACUUGAUUUCUCUGCUUUAGCCUUGUUUAAUUAGAGUCACAGACUCUCUCUACUCUGGUUUGUAAAUGUAUUUUUUUCCCUCACAUAUUACAGCGGAUAUUCCCUAAGAGUUCUGGUGAUGUUCAUGUUAGAGUAACGAUAUAAAUUUCAGCAAGACCAUAGAGAGUUUGAUUUAUACAAAAGAAGUAAGUAAAUAGAAAAAGGUAAUCUACAUCUCACCAGUAAUAUUUAUUGCAUUUAAUAAAAUACUAAUC